CAGAACGGCACCCAGAGGUCGUGGGACUUCAUGAAGAUGCACGACAGUGUGACCAUUCUCCUGGUCAACGCUUCCCAUGGAGCCCGGUGCUGCUGGAGCAAUUCGGCCAGGUGGAGCGCCGCUUCCCGGGUUCCUGGUGACGGUGAACGCGGACAGG